AGUAACACUCUGGGAGGGCUCAGGCCACAUCACGAAAUGUGACAGGAUAGCCUUGAACUCAUCAAUUGCUGGGUAAGAAAGAAUUUUAAUGCAAUGGCAAACAACCAAUCAAACAAGCAAACAAAAACAAUAAACCCUUCCUUGAGGACCAAGAAGACAUUGAUUAGCUAACCUAAGAGCUCCAGGUGGAGACCUAGGUCCUGAUUGGGUUUCUGAAUUUGACCACUAGGCAGAAAACUAGCACCCAAAACCAGUUGGAAUAAAAUUACCCACCUACAGUGGAGCCAAGGCCCCCAGAUCCUUUUUGUCAGCAAGGUAAGCUGUCAUCAGUUGGAGGUAAGCAGAAGACAGUAGAGAGUACAGAGCCCUGGACUGUGACUCAGAGGAUGAGCACCAGAUCCAGUUUGCUGUGCCACAGUGGGCCUGUGAUAUUUUGAAGCAGGAAGCUGACCUGAGACCUUCAGAAUAAACUGAUCACUGUGGAUAAUGAAAAGGCCCCACCCAGGACAUUGAUUGAGCACCCCUGCCUGUCUCAUUCCUUCUUCUCUUUCUUUUUAUUAUGUGCUUACCAUAAUAAAAAUUUUUAUUGUCUU
rnacentral:lncRNA from 1 species